rnacentral:tRNA from 1 species
GCCGGGGUCCCCUAACCUGGUAUGGGGCAGGCCUUGAGAGCCUGUGGCCGUACUCGGCCGUGUGGGUUCAAAUCCCACCCCCGGCG